AGGUGCUAAUACCGGAUAAGAAAGCAAGAUCGCAUGAUCAGCUUUUAAAAAGGCGGCGUAAGCUGUCGCUAUGGGAUGGCCCCGCGGUGCAUUAGCUAGUUGGUAAGGUAAAGGCUUACCAAGGCGAUGAUGCAUAGCCCGAGUUGAGAGACUGAUCGGGCCACAUUGGGGACUGAGACACGGGGCCCAAACUCCUACGGGGGGAGGGGCAGCAGUAGGGGGAAUCUUCCACAAUGGACGACAAGUCUGAUGGAGCAACGCCGCGUGAGUGAAGUAAGGUUUCGGAUACGUAAAGCUCUGUUGUUGGUGAAGAAGGAUAGAGGUAGUAACUGGUCCUUUAUUGACGGUAAUCAACCAGAAGUCACGGCUAACUACGUGCCAGCAGCCGCGGUAAU
rnacentral:rRNA from 1 species